CGGCUAACAACUGAGAUAAUAAUUGGUACGAGACUUCGCUAACGAUAGAAGACAGGGUAUCCCGUCCGGGUAACAAUAAAAAAAUUGACUUCUGGGUAACAAAAUUUUGUCACUUAACAAAAAAAAAAGAAUAUCAACUGGCGUGGCCUAAAUAAACACCCACGUGAAACCCGAAAAGGCACACGUACGUUUCACACUCGGAACCAAAUAAUCUUUGGCCUACUCGUACUGCUGCACCACAAACCUUUACUUCUCUAGAGGUAGGGUUUUCCCUCUCCCGGCCAUGGGCCACUCGCGUCGCGAAACGUGAAACGUCGGAUGACAACACAGGUGAGCGAUGCAGUGAGUGCCGCUCGAGUUAGUUUAGGUGAGUUUACUUGCGUGGCGGCCAGUCUCGCAGGAGGCGAUGAUGGUAUGCCUAACCGGUGGGCCUAUAUUAUUAUUUUUUGUAAUUUCAAACAUGACGAUGGUGGACUUUUGAGGUCGGCUCCUCUCCUUUUAUCGAGGACCUACCGGGCCGUCGUAGAAGAGGUGUGUUAUACGGUUCUAAGACAGCAGUGUAGCGGUAACGGUUACGGUGUCGCGGGUUGGGUUGGUGAGCGGAGGGAGGGCCAGCCAGUAGGAGAAGGAGCCUGAGCGGGGUGGUGGUGGUGGUGGGUCAAGCCUUGCCGUUAGUCCAACGGGCCUGGACGGACUGGCUGGAUGGCUCGGCUCGGCGUGAGUUGCGUGGCAGCGGUGGGGGUGGGGGGCGUAGGUGUCCUCGCUCAGGGUGACCAGUGCGGUGCAGAGCGGUUUUAGCGUGCGUGCGUGCGUGCGGUCGUGUCGUUUUUGAUUUAUUUUAUUUUAUUUUUUGUCGUCAUAUCAUCAUCAUAUUUUGAGGGUGCCGACGACCUAGGUAGCAGGUACCCAGAGCGGCGGCGACGGACAGGGGACGGUUACCGGUUCGUAGACCACUCGUGCCCUCGUGUGUCUUACCUUGUCUUACGUCACGUUAUUACCUUGUUGUUGUACAAGUCUUAGUGUUGUUUACGAUGAUGAUGACUGAUUAUUGACCUCAACAAACGGCUCAAACCGUCCGUGACCUAGACCUCCUUGCGGGGCGCAGAAGAAGCAGAAGGAGCGGCCACGGGCGGUAACUGCGGCGGCUAAUUGGCGAUGUAGAUGUACUUGUGGAACGAACGAACGAACCAAACCAACUGAGGAUUACGACGAUGCUGACGUACCUGUGCUUUACCCCUAGACCGAUUACUGUGUUGAUGUCUAGCCUGACGAUACCCCUAAGUUCCUUCCUUCCUUCUCAUUGUUGACCAAGAUCCUACGAUUAAGUUGACGACUACGACUAACACUACGACGACCGAUGAGAAGUAAGUGUAGACAGACAGACAACUGUGGACGUGUCCCACAACCUCCUCCUUCCCUGCCACCCGAUACAUGUCCCGUGCCACGCCCGCCGGCCGCCGCCGCCGCCGGUGCAGUCUCAUGGUACCGCAGGAGCCACCGGCGGAGCAGCGACCAACCCCUUCCGUCCCGCCGCAGGUGCUGCGUCGGCAGCGCCACCGCCAGCGCCGUCUCCCUGAGCUGCCGCUCCUCCGCCGCCGCCUCCAGCCGGUACAGCGCGAGGUGGUCCUUCUCGGCGCGCGCCUCCCAGUCCAAGAGGAGGAGGUCGGCCCGGCGCGCCCGCAGGAGCAGGAGCGGACGGCCGCGCCGCCCCUCGACGUGGUAGAGCUUCGCCGACUCCAGCACCAGUUCCGCCGCGAGGUGGAGGUGCACGAGGAGGUGCAGCGAGAGCGGCCUCGGGCUCAGCGGCAGCGGCCGCAGCCCCGGCCGCCGGACCCCCGCCUCCGCCUACUCCGGGAAGUACCUCGGCAUUGGCAGCUGCGGGGUGCGGAGGAACCGGUAGAGGUGGUCGUGGAGGGCGCGGCCGCUGUCGGCGCCGCAGCCGUCGUGCCGCCCGCAGUGCCCCGUGCCGCUGUGGUCGCUGCGGUGCGGUGGGCGGGCGAACCGGGCCUAGUCCAUGCUGCAGCACAACGCGCCGCGGCGGCUGGGCGGGGUGGAGGGGACGCGGACCCGGCACCGGAACGCGACGAAGGUGGGCCUGACGACGGCGCGGCGGGCGAAGGUGCGCCCGGAGCGGCCGAACUUGGGGCGGCGGCCGCCGCGGAGGCGGUGGCCGCCCUCGACGACGACGACGCGGUCGCGGCGGCGGGUGUGGACCAUGCCGCGGCCGUACCCUCCGGCGUAGUAGUAGAGCGGCAAGUAGCGGCCUAAUAAUGGUCUAGGCUUUGGGAUUGGGGCCGGGUUUAGUGGGUGACGAAUGGCGCUAAUCGGGGGCGGGUUUUACCCUAGGUUUGCGGAGCAGGGAGGGUUUAGGCUAAGGCAAGCGGCGCGCAAAUUCCUACUCUAAUUCAAAUCGCUCAAGCAAACUAGGUUUAAACCCCUCCCCUCCUCUCCCCCUCCAACCUCAACCUCUUCUUUCCUGUCCUGUCUCUCUGC
rnacentral:rRNA from 1 species